rnacentral:rRNA from 1 species
UUCACCGAGGAAGGGGACGGGAAAGGUGGCCUCUGGAUCAAGCUACCGCCCCGGGAUGGGUUCGCGUCCCAUUAGCUUGUUGGUGGGGUCAAGGCCCACCAAGGCGACGAUGGGUAGCCGGCCUGAGAGGGUGAUCGGCCACACUGGGACUGGAACACGGCCCAGACUCCUACGGGAGGCAGCAGUGGGGAAUCUUGGGCAAUGGGCGCAAGCCUGACCCAGCGACGCCGCGUGUGGGAAGAAGGCCCUCGGGUCGUAAACCACUGUCAGGAGGGAAGAAAAGCAGAUCCCCAACAGGGGUCUGUAUUGACGGUACCUCCAGAGGAAGCACCGGCCAACUCCGUGCCAGCAGCCGCGGUAAUACGGAGGGUGCAAGCGUUAUUCGGAAUCACUGGGCGUAAAGCGCGCGUAGGCGGCAGCGCAAGUCAGAUGUGAAAGCCCUCGGCUAAACCGGGGAAUUGCAUCUGAAACUGCGUAGCUAGAGUUCGGGAGAGGGCGGCGGAACUCCCGGUGUAGGGGUGAAAUCCGUA